AUUGAACGCUGGCGGCAGGCCUAACACAUGCAAGUCGAGCGGAUGAAGGGAGCUUGCUCCUGGAUUCAGCGGCGGACGGGUGAGUAAUGCCUAGGAAUCUGCCUGGUAGUGGGGGAUAACGUCCGGAAACGGGCGCUAAUACCGCAUACGUCCUGAGGGAGAAAGUGGGGGAUCUUCGGACCUCACGCUAUCAGAUGAGCCUAGGUCGGAUUAGCUAGUUGGUGGGGUAAAGGCCUACCAAGGCGACGAUCCGUAACUGGUCUGAGAGGAUGAUCAGUCACACUGGAACUGAGACACGGUCCAGACUCCUACGGGAGGCAGCAGUGGGGAAUAUUGGACAAUGGGCGAAAGCCUGAUCCAGCCAUGCCGCGUGUGUGGAGAAGGUCUUCGGAUUGUAAAGCACUUUAAGUUGGGAGGAAGGGCAGUAAGUUAAUACCUUGCUGUUUUGACGUUACCAACAGAAUAAGCACCGGCUAACCUCGUG
rnacentral:rRNA from 1 species